rnacentral:rRNA from 1 species
GACGAACGCUGGCGGCGUGCUUAACACCUGCAAGUCGAACGAAGUGGCGAACGGGUGAGUAAUACGUGGGUAACCUGCCCUCCUUUUUGGGAUAAGCCUUGGAAACGGCGUCUAAUACCGAAUAAAGGGGGAUGGGCUCGCGGCCUCGCAGCGUGUUGGUGGGGUGAUGGUGUACCAAGGCGGUGACGGGUAGCCGGCCGGAGCGGGUGAGCGGCUCGAUUGGGACGGAGAUGCGGACCAGACUCCGAAGGGAGGCAGCAGGGGGGGGUAGUGCACAAUGAGCGAAAGCCUGAUGCAGCGAGGCCGGGUGGAGGAUGAAGGGUUGCGGGUUGUAAACCUCUUGCGCUAUAGAACGGGUAGGUGGAGAUGAAGCGCAGGCUAACUACGUGCCAGCCGCCGCGGUAAUUC